AACGUAGGAGACAAACGUUAUCCGGAGUUACUGGGCGUAAAGGGCGUGUAGGUGGUUUCGUAAGUCUGGCGUGAAAUAUCUCGGCUUAACCGAGGCAGGUCGUCGGAUACUGGCGGACUAGAGGACGGUAGAGGCGUGUGGAAUUCCGGGUGUAGUGGUGAAAUGCGUAGAGAUCCGGAGGAACACCAGUGGCGAAGGCGACACGCUGGGCCGUACCUGACACUGAUACGCGACAGCAUGGGGAGCGAACGGG
rnacentral:rRNA from 1 species